AAUGAACGCUGGCGGCAUGCCUAACACAUGCAAGUCGAACGACACCUCCGGGUCUAGUGGCGCAUGGCUGCGUAACGCGUGGGAACCUGCCCAUAGGUUCGGAACAACUCCCCGAAAGGAGUGCGACUACCGGAGAAUGUCUUCCGCCCAAAGGUUUAUCGCGUUUGGAUGGGCCCGUGUUGGAUCGGCCAGUUGGUAGGGUAAAAGCCUACCAAGGCGACGAUACAUAGCUGGUCCGAGAGAAUGAGCAGCCACAUUGGGACUGGGACGCGGCGCGGACUCCUGCGGAAGGCGGGAGAGGGGGAUAUAGGAAUAUGGGCGAAGGGCUGAACGAGCAAGGCCGGGUGAGUGAUGAAGGCCGGAGAGUAGUCAAGCGCUCUUACCCGGGAGGGGGAUGACAGUACCGGAAGAAUAAGCUCCGGCUAACUCCGUG
rnacentral:rRNA from 1 species